UUUAUACUCCCUCCGUCCGAAAAAGCUUGUCCUUCAAAUUGAUGUAUCUAGCAUCAAAUUAGUGCUAGAUACAUCUAUUUGAAAAACAAGUUUGGGACAAGCUUUUUUGGACAGGAACGGAGGGAGUACAAC
rfam:Triticum aestivum genome assembly, contig: Triticum_aestivum_CS42_TGACv1_scaffold_471581_6AL